UACGGGGGGGGGCAAGCGUUGUUCGGAAUUACUGGGCGUAAAGGGCUCGUAGGCGGCCAACUAAGUCGGACGUGAAAAUCCCCAGGCUCAACCUGGAACUGCGUCCGAUACUGGAUGGCUUGAAUCCGGGAGAGGAUGCAGAAUUCCAGGGUGUAGCGGUGAAAAUGCGUAGAUAUCUGGAGGAAUACCGGUGGCGAAGGCGGCAUCUGGACCCGGCAUUGACGCUG
rnacentral:rRNA from 1 species